rnacentral:rRNA from 1 species
UGCAAGUCGAACGAACCUUCGGGUUAGUGGCGGACGGGUGAGUAACGCGUGAGAAUCUGCCCUCAGGAGGGGGACAACAGUUGGAAACGACUGCUAAUACCCCAUAUGCCGCGAGGUGAAAUGAAUUUCGCCUGAGGAUGAGCUCGCGUCUGAUUAGCUAGUUGGUGUAGGUAAUGGCUCACCAAGGCAUCGAUCAGUAGCUGGUCUGAGAGGAUGAUCAGCCACACUGGGACUGAGACACGGCCCAGACUCCUACGGGAGGCAGCAGUGGGGAAUUUUCCGCAAUGGGCGAAAGCCUGACGGAGCAACGCCGCGUGAGGGAUGAAGGCCUCUGGGCUGUAAACCUCUUUUAUCAAGGAAGAAGAUCUGACGGUACUUGAUGAAUAAGCCACGGCUAAUUCCGUGCCAGCAGCCGCGGUAAUACGGGAGUGGCAAGCGUUAUCCGGAAUUAUUGGGCGUAAAGCGUCCGCAGGCGGCCCUUCAAGUCUGCUGUUAAAAAGUGGAGCUUAACUCCAUCAUGGCAGUGGAAACUGUUGGGCUUGAGUGUGGUAGGGGCAGAGGGAAUUCCCGGUGUAGCGGUGAAAUGCGUAGAUAUCGGGAAGAACACCAGUGGCGAAGGCGCUCUGCUGGGCCAUCACUGACGCUCAUGGACGAAAGCCAGGGGAGCGAAAGGGAUUAGAUACCCCUGUAGUCCUGGCCGUAAACGAUGAACACUAGGUGUCGGGGGAAUCGACCCCCUCGGUGUCGUAGCCAACGCGUUAAGUGUUCCGCCUGGGGAGUACGCACGCAAGUGUGAAACUCAAAGGAAUUGACGGGGGCCCGCACAAGCGGUGGAGUAUGUGGUUUAAUUCGAUGCAACGCGAGAACCUUACCAGGGUUUGACAUCCUGCGAAUCUCUUGAACGAGAGAGUGCCUUCGGGAACGCAGUGACAGGUGUGCAUGCUGUCGUCAGCUCGUGUCGUGAGAUGUUGGGUUAAGUCCCGCACGAGCGCACCCACGUCUUUAGUUGCCAGCAUUUAGUUGGGCACUCUAGAGAGACCGCCGGUGAUAAACCGAGAAAGGGGGAUGAAGUCAAGUCAUCAUGCGCCCUUACAUCUCUGGGGGU